rnacentral:rRNA from 1 species
GUGCCAGCCGCCGCGGUAAUACGGAGGGUGCAAGCGUUAUCCGGAUUCACUGGGUUUAAAGGGUGCGUAGGUGGGCAGGUAAGUCAGUGGUGAAAUCUCCGGGCUUAACCCGGAAACUGCCGUUGAUACUAUCGGUCUUGAAUAUCGUGGAGAUGAGCGGAAUAUGUCAUGUAGCGGUGAAAUGCUUAGAUAUGACAUAGAACACCGAUUGCGAAGGCAGCUCGUUACACGGUUAUUGACACUGAGGCACGAAAGCGUGGGGAUCAAACAGGAUUAGAUACCCCGGUAGUCC